rnacentral:rRNA from 1 species
GACGAACGCUGGCGGCGUGCUUAACACAUGCAAGUCGAACGGAAAGGCCCUGCUUUUGUGGGGUGCUCGAGUGGCGAACGGGUGAGUAACACGUGAGUAACCUGCCCUUGACUUUGGGAUAACUUCAGGAAACUGGGGCUAAUACCGGAGAGGAGCUCCUGCUGCAUGGGGGGGGUUGGAAAGUUUCGGCGGUUGGGGAUGGACUCGCGGCUUAUCAGCUUGUUGGUGGGGUAGUGGCUUACCAAGGCUUUGACGGGUAGCCGGCCUGAGAGGGUGACCGGCCACAUUGGGACUGCGGUACGGCCCAGACUCCUACGGGAGGCAGCAGUGGGGAAUAUUGCACAAUGGGCGGAAGCCUGAUGCAGCAACGCCGCGUGCGGGAUGACGGCCUUCGGGUUGUAAACCGCUUUCGCCUGUGACGAAGCGUGAGUGACGGUAAUGGGUAAAGAAGCACCGGCUAACUACGUG